ensembl:lncRNA
UACUAACCACCUCUACUCUCAUCUACCAUAGAACGUUCCUACUAACCACCUCUACUCCCAUCUACCAUAGAAUGUUCCUACUAUCCACCUCUACUCCCAUCUACCAUAGAACGUACCCUACUGGCCAACCAUCCUCUAUAUAGCUCCAGCUAUCACCAGACAGACCUGGAUCAAAUACUUCUAAAUACUUGAGCUGAUUCUGUUUGCCUUAUUCAAUGGGACCAACAGAAUAGUCCCAAAAGUGCAAACCCACCAAACUAAAUCACGCGCACCUCAAAAUACUUGGAAAUACUUUUAAAAUUAUUUCCCAGUCUUUUCUCAAAUAUGAAGUAUUUAAAAGUAUUUUUAGACACAGUUAUGUACUUUUUGCCCAGAUCUUAUCUGGCUCUUAUCACGUUGUCCAGUGUUAUCACAGUCCGUCACAUUAAAGCCUGUUUACACCAAGCUGCCUCUUACUUCAACACAGUGCAUGGCUUUCUACUUCAUUAAUAUAGUCCCAACCAAAAUGAUUAUUAUGCCUUACUAGGUCGUAGCUAGGUCAUUAUUAUUAGUAGUAGUAGAUAUCUGUUCUGCUGAGGUCUGCUUGUUCCAUAUUAACCCCUUCAUGUAUAUCCUCUCUUCUCUAUAAGCCACUUGCUUUAGGCAGUGGAACAGUGAUGUGUGUAAACGUUGAGGCUCCCAGAUCUGCCUCUAAUGUAGUGAUAUUACUAUAGCCUGGUCUCAGAUCUGCCUCUAAUGUAGUGAUAUUACUAUAGCCUGGUCUCAGAUCUGCCUCUAAUGUAGUGAUAUUACUAUAGCCUGGUCCCAGAUCUGCCUCUAAUGUAGUGAUAUUACUAUAGCCUGGUCCCAGAUCUGCCUCUAAUGUAGUGAUAUUACUAUAGCCUGGUCUCAGAUCUGCCUCUAAUGUAAUGAUAUUACUAUAGCCUGGUCUCAGAUCUGCCUCUAAUGUAGUGAUAUUACUAUAGCCUGGUCUCAGAUCUGCCUCUAAUGUAGUGAUAUUACUAUAGCCUGGUCUCAGAUCUGCCUCUAAUGUAGUGAUAUUACUAUAGCCUGGUCUCAGAUCUGCCUCUAAUGUAGUGAUAUUACUAUAGCCUGGUCUCAGAUCUGCCUCUAAUGUAGUGAUAUUACUAUAGCCUGGUCUCAGGUCUGUUUUCGCCUAGUCCAUUGUCAAGCCAAACCAUGUUUUACAUGACAGUUCCAUAUGGAGUUGGGAAGAGAGCACAAACAGACUGGGAUCCAGGCUAAUAUUACUACCACCAGAAAUAGAACUAAAAUGACAUUCCUGGUGGCACUAAUGGUCACUACAUAUCCUGUAUACGGGUGGGAUGUUUACGUACAAAACCAAUGCCAGGGUUGGGGUGAAUUCCAUUUCAAUUCCAGUCAAUUCUGGAAGUUCGAAUUUCUCUUUUCAAUGAAAACAUUUUUUUGUGAAUUGUUUACUUUUUACGAAUUGAAAUGGAAUUUGACGCCGACCCUGGCGCGCGCAUCCGAGAGGCAGGAAACUGACGGGGUUGGCUUACAAUCGUAGGAUUAUAGGACAACGUGUAAACUAUAUUUAGUCUCUAAAUGUUUAUUGAAAAACCAUAAAUCAGUUUACAUCAUCGUUGUAACGUUGCCAGGUAACCAACCCAUCUAUAGUUCCACUGCUUCAUCACUGAUGUAGGACGGAGAGGUUCCUGCUAAGUCACGUUCCUAAUAUUUCAGCGUUAGCCUGGUUAAACCAGACUCGAGUGCUGCGCUCACCAUUUGAAACAACAGUGAAAUGUAGCCAAAUCAGUUGUGAUUCCAGGCUAAUUCAGUGUGUUCUGUUGAACUCCUACCGUAGCUGUAUCUGUGUGUGAUGGUGGUAUUGUAACCAUGGAAAUAUAGCGCUUGAGGCCCCGUGUGUGUGUGCGUGCGUGUGUAUAGAAGCAAAGGUAGGUAGCUGUUGAGUGUGUGAGUCCGUCUGACAGUACCAAUGGCGUUAUCUAACAGACGGUACUGUCAGCCUGUCAACACACAACUAGGGCACCAUAUUCCCUAUCUAGUGCCCUACUGUUGACCAGGGCCCAUAGGGAUCUGGUGAAAAGUAGUGCACUAUAUAGGAUACCAUUUCGGACUAGCAGUCUAUGGAAGUGUAGAGAAGUGAUUGGUUUUUUGUCCUCGUUUGAAAAUUGAUUUCAGGCCUUCUCAUAUACCUCCAUUGUUUUUUAGUUUUUUUAAUGAACUGUUGUUUUUUCGGUUCAUGAUUGUUGUUGAACUAUAAUGAAAUGCUGUCACUGUAACCGAUUGUAAUUCCAUUGGAAAACAUUGGAAAAGUCAAACGAUGUCAUUUCAAUGCAUUUGGAGGAUGAUGUGUGUGGGGGAGGAUGAUGGUGUAGUCGAUACGGACGGUUUUAUGUUUUGUACAGAUUGAUCAAUUGUAUAAUUGUGUUUUUUAGUUUAAUCUUAAGUUAUCAAUUCAUCUUAAUAAAACGCACCGGUCAUAAACAUUUCAACUCUCUCAGUUGUUAUUUACAUACAAAGGCA